rnacentral:lncRNA from 1 species
UGCAAGCAUUGUGUGCUCUGCUUUUCUCUGUUUUGCACUUGAAGGACAUUUAGUUAGUCAGCAAUUCUUAUGCCUUAUUUAAAAUGAUGUAUUUAAUUGUCAGCUAAGGUGUUCAAUGUUUAGUUAAAACUGAAUAAUUUGCACUAAGUAAUGCCUUAUGUUAAGCUUUAUAAAAUUACAGAGUCUGAAUAAGCUUUUAUUCCUCAAUUGUUAGUAGUUACCAACUACUUCCUGGGCCUUAAUGUCAGAUGAUAUGUGCUUUGAGCUCACUGCAGACUCAUUAUAGGAUGAAGUUACUCUAAUGGCUCCUAAGUGGUAUAAGUAUAGAUGUUAAGUGCAAUGUUUAUUUGCAUAAUGGACCAUAUAUUACCUAUAUUACCGAAGAAAAGGAAUUCUUAAGGGUAUACUUACCCUUUUUCAAUUAUGAGGGUCUUUUCAGUGAACUGGAUCUUUCAGUGCACUGCUGUCAUUUAGUAGAUUUAAAUGAAGCCCACAGAGGCACAAAAGUUGUACUUCACAAAACAAAUGCAUUCUUCAUUUGCUAGUAUUGUGGUUUUCUGCAUGUCAGUGCUAGCGCAGAGAAAUAUAUUAUAACACCUAAUAAGAGGUCAGUAUUAUAUCCCAUUCAGAUUGUGUUUUGGUUUUCAUUUUGUGGUUCUUUGAGAUCUGUCACUUUUAUUCAUUUUACUCACCAGUCCAAAAGUUACCCAAAUCCUCUUUGAUUUACCAUGAGUCAGUGGCUGCCAUUUUCUUAGUAUGUGUUAUCUAAUUUAAUCUAAUCUAAUCUCUUUUUGUAGUUAAGUGCUGGGAGCCAUUAGCCAAGUAAGUAGGUAUGACAGUUUCCUUGCCAGCAUACCCCAUGUUGCAGUGACAUUGAAUGUAGGUGACCUUGCUCAAGGACCAAGGCGGAUUAGGGCGUUCCCGGUUUAGGUUCCAGGUUUAAGGUUUAAGAUUAUUCCUGCUGGGAAUAGGGCAUAUCCUGCUGCCUGAGUUCCCCUUGAGUUCUCACGGGAUUCAGACAGUAUAUUUUUGGGAGACAGAAACCCAGUGGAGGUGGAUUUGAGAGAGAACGUGGAUUUCCCCAGAACGUGUUUGUAGACAGCUGGUGUGAGUUCGGGAAUAAAGAGUGAUUGUGUGCCCAGCCAGACUGGGGCAUUUGUGCCCAGCCAGACUGCGGCAGUUAAGCAUUUAUGUCCAGGAGCCCUUUUGACCUGAAUUCCUCUGGAUUCUAGAUUUGGGCUACAAUCUUAGCUGUUACAUCAAUUUUCUGUCCAUCAGUUAAAAGUAUGUGUCAAAUUCAUCAAGGAAUGAGGCAAUACUUAUCAUCCAUACCAUAUAGCAUUAUGAUCAGGAGGGUCCAUUUGGAUUUGAGUGUAUGAUGGAAAAGAAAAGGUGGAAAUUCUAAAAUUUCAGCCAUCAAACAUUUCCCGUCAUCUACUAUGGAAGUAAUAAUUAAUAGAACUACACAAUUUAGUUUUGUUUUCUUUCAGUGUUUUAAAUGGAUAGAAUCAAUGAAGUUAUUUCAGUAAAAGUAAAUUGCAUGUGAAAAUGAUAGAGUUUCAUGUCAUUGCAUUUUCCCAUGCCGUACUGUAUUAUCAGCAUUUUGGGUUUUAACUGGUUUUAGAUCUAUUUUGGGAAUGGUUGGUUGGAGAGUCUUGCCAUUCACUAUCUUAAAGCCCUUCAGUGUUUCUUUUCUGUUUCUAAGAUGAAAAUCAAAUUACUUUGCAUGAUGUAAGACAGUGAUCUUUGAGUCCCUGCUAGCUUUUCUAUGUUCUUCUUCCCUCUUCUCACCUUUUGUACUAGUAAAACCAGCCUCCCUGGACUGGUCAGUCAUACCUCAUAUUUCUCUUCAGUGUUACUUCUUAUCUCUCCCUUGUUUCCUGCUCAGCAAACUUCUCUUCACCUCUCAAAACCCACUUCAGGUGAUAACUUCCUCUAAAAAGCCUUGCUCAGUCCUCAUUCCUUUCCUGACAGUUAAUUAUAGUCAUGUGGCCUCUUCUUUAUCUUGAACAUAUCUUUACAAUAUUUACUAGGCAUAUUGUAAUUUUUUGGUUUUCAUCUUUGUAUCUCCAGGAUCCAGCUUGUUUCCUGAUGUUUUGCUAUCUAAUAGAUAUUAAGUUAAUUGAAGUUACUAUGAAUUUGAAAUAGACAUUGAGCAAUUUUUUCCCCUUUUUGAAUUUAUAGUUCAUUUUAAAACAAUGUAUUGCUAUGGGAAUAGGCCUGUAUAUUUUGUGUGUAUGUGUGGUUUUUGUCUCAAAUAGUAGCUCUAUGUGUAGGUUGUUUACUGGAAUUGUGGGUCCCUUUUACAGAUGAAGUAUUAUGCUUAAGGAAACUUACCACUGCUCUUACUUUUGGACCCAAUUCCUCAUAUACAUGUUUUCUCUAGCAUUAUAAUUCUAAGGCUUAGAGCCUACAUGCCACUUAAAAGCCCAAAAUAAUGGCUUUGCACAAAAAGAUGGUUGUGCAAAAAUAUUUUGACAUUGUAGUGUCUAUAAACACUUCCUAUUUAGAUAGAUCAGCCUUUCUCCAUACUAAUAUGUUAAUCUCAUCAUAGCAUUAGAUUUUUGGAACCUCAAGUUAUUCCAGGAAAUAAUGACUUCUCCUGCAUCAGACGUGGGUGGAGAUCAGAGGGUUAUUGAUAGUGUUGUUUCUCAUCUCCCUCCCUUUGUCCUUUCCUCAGCAAAUAAAUACUUUAGUAAAAUAUAGGAGAUCAAGAAACCCCUGUUAAAUAUGUUUGAUUUGGAUGUAAUAAUCUUUAAGCCAUCAGUAUCUAAAUGUGCCUUUCUGUAUUGUAGCAUGCCCCACUUUACAUCAUUUAGCACUUUAGAAAAUGACUUGCCAUCAAGUUUAAAAAAGCUACCUGGUAUCAUGUAUUCUUUUGUAAUUUCACAGCACAUUGAGUAAAAUGUGUCAGUAUAUUUAGAUACCAUGAACAUCAUUACCUUAAUCUACACAUAUUCACUAAAUAUCAAGGUUCCAAUUCCUAGGGUAAACAAUCUCUGUAAUAGAGUUCGUUUGUAACAUUUAAGGUAUGAAUUGCUUCCAUUCUUAGUUUUUUUCCAAAACUAUAUUUUUACAUAUAUGCAGGUAUAUUUCUUUGAAACUUAGAUAAUAUAUAAACAG